UUGUCUGCUCACUAUAUCGUAUAUGCUGCUCCAGUGCAGGUCUGUUGUUGACAGUGCUCAUAGUAGAGAGAUGAUGGCGGAGAUGGACUGUCAAGGUCUGUUAGAGGACGAGCAGUUCCACCACCUGCUGCCUGGCUGGGUGGAGGAGGUAGAGGUGGAUGCCUGCCUGGCUAGGUGGAGGAGGUAGAGGUGGAUGCCUGCCUGGCUAGGUGGAGGAGGUAGAUGUGGAUGCCUGCCUGGCUGGGUGGAGGAGGUAGAGGUGGAUGCCUGCCUGGCUGGGUGGAGGAGGUAGAGGUGGAUGCCUGCCUGGCUAGGUGGAGGAGGUAGAUGUGGAUGCCUGCCUGGCUAGGUGGAGGAGGUAGAGGUGGAUGCCUGCCUGGCUGGGUGGAGGAGGUAGAGGUGGAUGCCUGCCUGGCUGGGUGGAGGAGGUAGAGGUGGAUGCCUGCCUGGCUGGGUGGAGGAGGUAGAGGUAGAUGCCUGCCUGGCUGGGUGGAGGAGGUAGAGGUGGAUGCCUGCCUGGCUAGGUGGAGGAGGUAGAGGUAGAUGCCUGCCUGGCUGGGUGGAGGAGGUAGAGGUGGAUGCCUGCCUGGCUGGGUGGAGGAGGUAGAGGUGGAUGCCUGCCUGGCUAGGUGGAGGAGGUAGAGGUAGAUGCCUGCCUGGCUGGGUGGAGGAGGUAGAGGUGGAUGCCUGCCUGGCUAGGUGGAGGAGGUAGAGGUAGAUGCCUGCCUGGCUGGGUGGAGGAGGUAGAGGUGGAUGCCUGCCUGGCUGGGUGGAGGAGGUAGAGGUGGAUGCCUGCCUGGCUAGGUGGAGGAGGUAGAGGUGGAUGCCUGCCUGGCUAGGUGGAGGAGGUAGAGGUGGAUGCCUGCCUGGCUGGGUGGAGGAGGUAGAGGUGGAUGCCUGCCUGGCUGGGUGGAGGAGGUAGAGGUAGAUGCCUGCCUGGCUGGGUGGAGGAGGUAGAGGUGGAUGCCUGCCUGGCUAGGUGGAGGAGGUAGAGGUAGAUGCCUGCCUGGCUGGGUGGAAGAGGUAGAGGUAGAUGCCUGCCUGGCUGGGUGGAGGAGGUAGAGGUGGAUGCCUGCCUGGCUGGGUGGAGGAGGUAGAGGUAGAUGCCUGCCUGGCUGGGUGGAGGAGGUAGAGGUGGAUGCCUGCCUGGCUAGGUGGAGGAGGUAGAUGUGGAUGCCUGCCUGGCUGGGUGGAGGAGGUAGAGGUGGAUGCCUGCCUGGCUAGGUGGAGGAGGUAGAGGUGGAUGCCUGCCUGGCUGGGUGGAGGAGGUAGA